GACCCCUAGCCUGGGAACCUCCAUAUGCCAUGGGAGCGGCCCAAGAAAAUGGCAAAAAGACAAAAAUAUAUAUGUAUAUAUUUACAUAUAAUAUUGUUAUAUUGCAUAUAUAUGUGUUACAAUGCAUAUCCUAGCUAUCUCUAGGGGUCAAAUCAGAGCCAUAGCUGCCAGCCUAGACCACAGUCACAGCAACGCAGAUUUCAAGCUGCGUCUGUGACCUACACCACAGCUCAUGGCAACGCAGGAUCCUUCACCCAAUGAGCAAGGUCAGGGAUUGAACCUGCAUCCUCAUGGAUACUAGUCAGAUUUGUUAACCACUGAGCCAAGACAGGAACUCCUUCAAAUUCUUAAUAUGGAAAAACUUUACCUACAUGAGAGAAUUAAUAAUACAGUGAGGUGUCAUAAACGCAAAAGUCUAGAUUCACAGAUCAUCAGGAGUUUGCCAUCAUGGUUUAUCCAUCUCUUUUUUUCUCUUUCCUUUUCCACUUUUGGAAGUGUCAGCCAACCAAAAGGAAAAGGGAAUCCUGAUACACCGAGGGCUCUGGAAGGCCAGCAUUUGCCUGCCAAUUUCAUACACCUUCACUCAGCUUUUACUUAGGAAGCAAAAAGGACGGCUCUACGUUUAGUAUUGCAUUGUGCUUAUGGGAUAAGUAGCCUUAAAGCUCAAGUCUAUCCCAUGCUAGAUGGGUAUUGAUUUUUCCUCUUAAAUCAAUGUUUCCCUCGAGCGUAGUUUUAUUUAUUCAUAAAGCCAAGAUGAUGUCUGACAGGAGUUAUGGCAGUGUAAAUCUGUGAUGCAGGCACAAUACGAAGAGCUCUUAUAAGACUCAAAAAUCAAUGCUGCUAGAGGGUCACUCCCUAAGCCUGAGUAAGUGUGUUUGCGGAGCUUCCAAGAGUAAAGGGAGAAUUUAGCAUACAGGUAAGUUUCGUCCUUCUGUUUUCUCGGCCACUUUUCAAAGGGACCUAAAUGAAGUGCAUGUGAGCCUUGAAUAACAAGUGUUUGAACUGUAUGGAUCCACUUAUACAUGGAUCUUUUCCAAUAGUAAAUACUGUAUGUAGUUCUAAAUGAUCCACAAUGGGUGAGUCCACAGAUGCAGGGAUCCACAAAAGCACUUGGAUUUUCGACUGUGCAGAGGGUGUCAUCCCCAAUUCAUAAUAUUGUCCAAGGAUCAGCUAUAGAACUCAAGUGGGAACAUCAGACUGAAAAGAAUCAAGCUUCAAUAGAGAUUCCUUGUUGGCCCCAUAUCUGUUGGUUCAGUCUCAAAAGCUCCACUGAUCCUGCUGAUCUUAACCCUGUAAUUUUGCCUCCUGGUGCAGAAUACAUUCUAAAAGUAUUCACUUUUUGUCACUCUGUAUGUGUGUUCUAUUUUCUUUUAAAAGCUUUUUACAGUGGAAAUUACUAUUAGAAUGGUUUUUAACUUAAAGAAAAUGUCUCAGGAGUUGCCAUGGUGGCUCAGUGGAUUAAGAACCCAACUAGUAUCCAUGAGGAUGUGGGUUCUUUCCCUGGCCUUGCUCAGUGGGUUAAGGAUCUGGCAUUGCCAUGAACUGCAGGGUAGAUUGCAGUGUGGCUUGAAUCCAGCAUUGCUGUGGCUGUGGUAUAGGCUCCUGCUACAGCUCUGAUUCACCCCCUAGCUGGGAACUUCCAUAUGCCAUAGGUGUGGCCCUAAAAAGAAAAAAAA
ensembl:lncRNA